rnacentral:piRNA from 1 species
UAGUGCUAUUUUAAUAUAAUC